GUCCACGCGGUAAACGAUGAAUGUUAGGUGUUGCGGGUAUCGAACCCUGCAGUGCCGGAGUAAACACAAUAAACAUUCCGCCUGGGGAGUACGGCCGCAAGGUUGAAACUCAAAGGAAUUGACGGGGGCCCGCACAAGCAGCGGAGCAUGUUGUUUAAUUCGAAGCAACGCGAAGAACCUUAACAGGUCUUGACAUCCGAUUAAAGCCGUAGAGAUACGGUGUUCCUUCGGGAGAAUCGAGACAGGUGGUGCAUGGUUGUCGU
rnacentral:rRNA from 1 species